GUAUUGUAACGCAUUCUUCUGUCAUUUGUCAAUGCCGGAGCUGUGGCCCCAUAAAGCAGCAGGUUGCCACCCUGGAUCCCCGUCAACAAGGGAACCAGACCCGACCACAGCCCCCCCCACCCCCUUUAUCCUCCUGAGUGAGUGUAAACCACUGUGAGCCCCUGUGGGGGGAGGGUAUGUUUUGAUGAGAUCUUUGGUUUUUAUCAGCACUGAGCACUGCUGCCUGGGAAGGAGCGAACAAGUGAUGACGUACAUGAGACAAUGUGUCUUCAUUCAGCUGGAGACGACACACACACACAUGCGGGCCGGUGGUGGCGGGUCCUUGACGAGAGGAAACCAUGAACUCUGGGAGGAGCAGGUUCCCACACCCAGAAGAAGGGACGCACAACGCUCUAACACAAACAGUCCGCCACUCAGGAAGGAAAGGGCUCUCUUUGGGCCUUUAUCAGAUCUGCGAGAUCCUCGGCCCCGUCCGUCACCCGCUGCUGUCCGAGAGGUCCCAGCGAGGCUGCCGGACUCCCUGGCACCAGCGUCUGGCGCUGGGGAAGAUCUAUCUAGAGAUAUGAGCAGGAGAAACUCCACCCAAGAGGCCUGGUAUACACACAGACAAACCUAUUACAUCCUCUGA
rnacentral:lncRNA from 15 species